AAUCAACGCUGGCGGCGUGCCUCAGACAUGCAAGUCGAACGCGAAAGUCCCCUUCGGGGGACGAAGUAGAGUGGCGCACGGGUGAGUAACACGUAGGUAAUCUACCUUUGGAUGGGGAAUAACAACCGGAAACGGUUGCUAAUACCGCAUAAUGCAGCGGCACCUAAUGGUGACAGUUGUUAAAGCGGGGGAUCGAAAGACCUCGCGUCUAAAGAGGAGCCUGCGGCGGAUUAGCUAGUUGGUAAGGAAUGGCUUACCAAGGCUACGAUCCGUAACCGGCCUGAGAGGGCGGUCGGUCACACUGACACUGACAUACGGGUCAGACUCCUACGGGAGGCAGCAGUCGGGAAUUUUGGGCAAUGGGCGAAAGCCUGACCCAGCAACGCCGCGUGAAGGAUGAAAUCCCUCGGGAUGUAAACUUCGCAAGAACGGGAAGAAUAAGUAGGGGACAAUACCCCCUAUGA
rnacentral:rRNA from 1 species